AGAAUCAACGCUGGCGGCGUGCCUAACACAUGCAAGUCGAACGAGAAAGUGGAGCAAUCCAUGAGUAAAGUGGCGCACGGGUGAGUAACACGUGACUACCUACCCUUGAGUGGGGGAUAACCUAGGGAAACCUGGGCUAAUACCGCAUAACACCUUCGGGUCAAAGGAGCAAUUCGCUUAAGGAGGGGGUCGCGGCCGAUUAGUUAGUUGGCGGGGUAAUGGCCCACCAAGACUAUGAUCGGUAU
rnacentral:rRNA from 1 species